AGGCACGUAGCUCAGGGGCUAGAGCGCUGCUCUGACACGGCAGAGGUCGACGGUUCGAGACCGUCCGUGCCUA
rnacentral:tRNA from 1 species